rnacentral:rRNA from 1 species
UACGUAGGGUGCGAGCGUUAAUCGGAAUUACUGGGCGUAAAGUGUGCGCAGUCGGCCAUGCAAGUCGAGUGGGAAAGCCCCGGGCUUAACUUGGGAAUUGCGCUCGAAACUACGUGGCUGGAGUGUGGCAGAGGAAGGUGGAAUUCCACGUGUAGCGGUGAAAUGCGUAGAGAUGUGGAGGAACACCAAUGGCGAAGGCAGCCUUCUGGGCCAACACUGACGCUCAUGCACGAAAGCGUGGGGAGCAAACAGG